UACAACACUUGCAAGAAAGAAAAAUGGCUGCAGCUGCUAGGCAUGAAGAGAUCCAGAAUUUUCUAAAUUCUGCAGAUGGAAAGAAUACACCCAAACUGGAUGCUGAACUGAACGCCAUAAUCUAUAAUCACUUUGCUAUGAUUUUUAUUUAUUAUAUUAUGUAGUUAAAAAUUUUGGUUCAUGACUUAUGGUUCUUUAAUUUUUUUUUUCUUUUAUGUGUGGUGUGGCGUAUAAUCCUAAGGCUGGGAGUUUCUUCAUUGACGAGGAGAUUAAAGUUGCUGUGGUCUUCGAUCUAGACGAAGAUAAAGGAACCAAGACAUGUCGCGACCAAACUGCCUACAUGAUUGGAGAAAACUUUUACUUCAAAUCUGUGAAUAUCGGAGAGGCUCGGAAUCUCGGGAAGCCAGACGAAUUUGGAUAUACUCAACGCAUAUAUUGUCGCCCACUUGUGUGCUCAUCAUAUGUUCCAAGCUUGGUGCAACUCCAGAUCAACCAACCAGGCACAAGGAUAGAAAGCGAUGAUUAACGUAGCUUCUUGCAUCUUCUUUGAUAUGUUGAUAUGUUGUUUUAACUUUGUAUUUCCGACUUCAUAAAGAAAAGUGGAAGGAAAACUAAAAUCAACAUAAAGUACCCCCCAUAAAUAAAGUUAAAUUUGUGGUAACUAAAAGAAAAGGAUAAUUGUAUGUUUAUAAUAUCAAGGAAUGGUCCCUCUUAUAGCACGAAUUGCGAUGUGGGAUAUUAUUCUCUA